GACUAAGCGUACACGGUGGAUGCCCUGGCAGUCAGAGGCGAUGAAGGACGUGCUAAUCUGCGAUAAGCGUCGGUAAGGUGAUAUGAACCGUUAUAACCGGCGAUUUCCGAAUGGGGAAACCCAGUGUGUUUCGACACACUAUCAUUAACUGAAUCCAUAGGUUAAUGAGGCGAACCGGGGGAACUGAAACAUCUAAGUACCCCGAGGAAAAGAAAUCAACCGAGAUUCCCCCAGUAGCGGCGAGCGAACGGGGAGCAGCCCAGAGCCUGAAUCAGUGUGUGUGUUAGUGGAAGCGUCUGGAAAGGCGCGCGAUACAGGGUGACAGCCCCGUACACAAAAAUGCACAUACUGUGAGCUCGAUGAGUAGGGCGGGACACGUGGUAUCCUGUCUGAAUAUGGGGGGACCAUCCUCCAAGGCUAAAUACUCCUGACUGACCGAUAGUGAACCAGUACCGUGAGGGAAAGGCGAAAAGAACCCCGGCGAGGGGAGUGAAAAAGAACCUGAAACCGUGUACGUACAAGCAGUGGGAGCACGCUUAGGCGUGUGACUGCGUACCUUUUGUAUAAUGGGUCAGCGACUUAUAUUCUGUAGCAAGGUUAACCGAAUAGGGGAGCCGAAGGGAAACCGAGUCUUAACUGGGCGUUAAGUUGCAGGGUAUAGACCCGAAACCCGGUGAUCUAGCCAUGGGCAGGUUGAAGGUUGGGUAACACUAACUGGAGGACCGAACCGACUAAUGUUGAAAAAUUAGCGGAUGACUUGUGGCUGGGGGUGAAAGGCCAAUCAAACCGGGAGAUAGCUGGUUCUCCCCGAAAGCUAUUUAGGUAGCGCCUCGUGAAUUCAUCUCCGGGGGUAGAGCACUGUUUCGGCAAGGGGGUCAUCCCGACUUACCAACCCGAUGCAAACUGCGAAUACCGGAGAAUGUUAUCACGGGAGACACACGGCGGGUGCUAACGUCCGUCGUGAAGAGGGAAACAACCCAGACCGCCAGCUAAGGUCCCAAAGUCAUGGUUAAGUGGGAAACGAUGUGGGAAGGCCCAGACAGCCAGGAUGUUGGCUUAGAAGCAGCCAUCAUUUAAAGAAAGCGUAAUAGCUCACUGGUCGAGUCGGCCUGCGCGGAAGAUGUAACGGGGCUAAACCAUGCACCGAAGCUGCGGCAGCGACGCUGAUGCGUUGUUGGGUAGGGGAGCGUUCUGUAAGCCUGUGAAGGUGUGCUGUGAGGCAUGCUGGAGGUAUCAGAAGUGCGAAUGCUGACAUAAGUAACGAUAAAGCGGGUGAAAAGCCCGCUCGCCGGAAGACCAAGGGUUCCUGUCCAACGUUAAUCGGGGCAGGGUGAGUCGACCCCUAAGGCGAGGCCGAAAGGCGUAGUCGAUGGGAAACAGGUUAAUAUUCCUGUACUUGGUGUUACUGCGAAGGGGGGACGGAGAAGGCUAUGUUGGCCGGGCGACGGUUGUCCCGGUUUAAGCGUGUAGGCUGGUUUUCCAGGCAAAUCCGGAAAACUAAGGCUGAGGCGUGAUGACGAGGCACUACGGUGCUGAAGCAACAAAUGCCCUGCUUCCAGGAAAAGCCUCUAAGCAUCAGGUAACAUCAAAUCGUACCCCAAACCGACACAGGUGGUCAGGUAGAGAAUACCAAGGCGCUUGAGAGAACUCGGGUGAAGGAACUAGGCAAAAUGGUGCCGUAACUUCGGGAGAAGGCACGCUGAUAUGUAGGUGAAGCGACUUGCUCGUGGAGCUGAAAUCAGUCGAAGAUACCAGCUGGCUGCAACUGUUUAUUAAAAACACAGCACUGUGCAAACACGAAAGUGGACGUAUACGGUGUGACGCCUGCCCGGUGCCGGAAGGUUAAUUGAUGGGGUCAGCGCAAGCGAAGCUCUUGAUCGAAGCCCCGGUAAACGGCGGCCGUAACUAUAACGGUCCUAAGGUAGCGAAAUUCCUUGUCGGGUAAGUUCCGACCUGCACGAAUGGCGUAAUGAUGGCCAGGCUGUCUCCACCCGAGACUCAGUGAAAUUGAACUCGCUGUGAAGAUGCAGUGUACCCGCGGCAAGACGGAAAGACCCCGUGAACCUUUACUAUAGCUUGACACUGAACAUUGAGCCUUGAUGUGUAGGAUAGGUGGGAGGCUUUGAAGUGUGGACGCCAGUCUGCAUGGAGCCGACCUUGAAAUACCACCCUUUAAUGUUUGAUGUUCUAACGUUGACCCGUGAUCCGGGUUGCGGACAGUGUCUGGUGGGUAGUUUGACUGGGGCGGUCUCCUCCUAAAGAGUAACGGAGGAGCACGAAGGUUGGCUAAUCCUGGUCGGACAUCAGGAGGUUAGUGCAAUGGCAUAAGCCAGCUUGACUGCGAGCGUGACGGCGCGAGCAGGUGCGAAAGCAGGUCAUAGUGAUCCGGUGGUUCUGAAUGGAAGGGCCAUCGCUCAACGGAUAAAAGGUACUCCGGGGAUAACAGGCUGAUACCGCCCAAGAGUUCAUAUCGACGGCGGUGUUUGGCACCUCGAUGUCGGCUCAUCACAUCCUGGGGCUGAAGUAGGUCCCAAGGGUAUGGCUGUUCGCCAUUUAAAGUGGUACGCGAGCUGGGUUUAGAACGUCGUGAGACAGUUCGGUCCCUAUCUGCCGUGGGCGCUGGAGAACUGAGGGGGGCUGCUCCUAGUACGAGAGGACCGGAGUGGACGCAUCACUGGUGUUCGGGUUGUCAUGCCAAUGGCACUGCCCGGUAGCUAAAUGCGGAAGAGAUAAGUGCUGAAAGCAUCUAAGCACGAAACUUGCCCCGAGAUGAGUUCUCCCUGACUCCUUGAGAGUCCUGAAGGAACGUUGAAGACGACGACGUUGAUAGGCCGGGUGUGUAAGCGCAGCGAUGCGUUGAGCUAACCGGUACUAAUGAACCGUGAGGCUUAACCUUACAACGCCGAAGCUGUU
rnacentral:rRNA from 1 species